rnacentral:lncRNA from 1 species
UUCCCCCAUCUGAGAACCCAAGGCGAUGUUCCAACUCUUUUUCUUCACAAAAAGGGGACAAAGAACAUACCCCAAAAAUUCAGCAAUGCUUUUCUCCUUCUCCAACCCUUAUGCACCCUAAGCUCCUUUCUUCUUCAUGGACAGCCCCCGCCUCCUGUUUUGCUUUCAUCUUCUUCAUCCAUCACCAUGGACGCUGGCCAAAACCAGCAGUGAAACUCCAUUGCCGGCGAUUGCAGAUCUCACCUUCAUUAUCAUCUCUCUCACCCCUCUUUCCGUUGCGAUGAAACUUGCUGGAAGUCGGGGAAACUGCAGCUCCCAUUUCGUUCAUUAAUGGUGCUUUAGAUCUAACAAGAUCGGGCCUGUUUUGUUCUCGUUUUUCCGAUAAAUCAUUCAUCAUCGUUUAUUUUCUUGCUGAUAUAAGUGAAUGCGGAUGAAGAAAGCCCCAAACCAGUUGUUGGCUCAAGUUGUUUCUGGACUAAAGUCGUGUCUGAUGUUACUGGGAUGCUGCUGUAUCUACUGAUUUCUGCUUACGCCGAGCUCCCCGUUACUAUUUUAGCAUGGUUGAGUCUUCUCGUCGAAGUUCCAUCUUUGUAAUCUAGAAAUUUUCAUAUAUAAAACGCUAAUUUGGAGCCGUGGAAUUGCCGCUCGUUGUCCGCUGAUUUGCAUUGUUGUUGUACUGCUUCUCGUUGCUGUUAUGCUGCUGUGGAGCUACAUUUUUCUUUAAUUCCAUACUUUAUUUGAUCAAUUUCUGCAAUUCCUCCACUUUUAGGUAUGUACAUUCACCUAUCAGCAUUUACUUGAAUUCAUGAAUGAAAUGUGGUUAGCUUGUGUUGAUGUUUUGUUUGUUUACUUAGAGAUUGCAAGGAAUUUUGGGGAACUGAGUAUGUCUGGAAUGUACUGAUAUAAUGUCAAGGAAUUUUGGGGAACUGAGUAUGUCUGGAAUGUACUGAUAUAAUGUUAAAACUAGGAUAUGAAUAUAAGAAGUGACUUAAAAUAUUUGUGAAGAGUAGUUCAUAGUUUACUGAUUCAAUCCAUUUCGGUCAGCUCAUUGAGAUGUUUGGCCACCACGUUUUGGGAUUGGCUUCACUGGAAGCCCAUGUUUGUUCGUUAGAUUUGGUAAAAUUAUGAUGCAAACUUUUGAGCAAAUUAAUUGAUAAUUUUUUUAUACUAUUAUUAAUCAACACAAUGCAAAUAACAAAGAACGUAGUCAAUGGCCUUACACUUAGACCUUUGUGGCCAUUCAAAGUUUUAUAUUUAUUUAAGAGAUCUCAUCCUCUUUGCAUAUUUCAACAACCAAUUUCAAUCAAUUGUCGAUAUAUCUCAUUAUGUUUCACAUUUCUUUAGCGUAGAACUACAUAUAUAUUUGAUACACAAAUUCACUCUAAUUCGUAGCUUCACAAAAUCCCCAAACUUGGAAAAAUGAAUCCAAGGAACAUCGUAGCUUGCUUUAGGCGCAAUUAAAUAAAUCAUCACGACUAUAGGUACGGUCCCCGUGGCAUGAUCGUGAUACCUAAUCCAAAAUUCGGGUGUGUAUUUCAUGUGACCCGAUCAUAACAACUUCAAACAUUAAUAAAAAAUAAACAUGUUACAAAUCGCGGGUGCAUUUCAUGUAGCGUGGUUUGCGGUGUGUUCCAAAACAGCAAGUGUACGACAAUCGUAACUUGUUCAAGAAAUAAAUCUAUAAAUCCUAAAAAUGGUUAAAUAAUUAAUUAAAAGGCGGUUAUAAAGCUAAAAAUGCACAAUAGGUUUAAAACAUGUAGUAAAUCAGAUAAUAGGCCAAUAUUAAUAGUUUAAGCGGCCGUGCUCGAACCACGGAACUCGGGAAUGCCUAACACCUUCUCCUGGUUAACAGAAUUCCUUACUUAGAAUUUCUGGUUCGUAGGCUUUUAAAAUAAAGUCGAAAUUUCCUCGAUUUUGUGAUUUUAAAAUAGACCGGUGACUUGGGACACCAAAUAAACUAUUCCAAAUGGCGACUCUGAAAAAUAAAUAAAUAAUCAUAUUUCGAAUAAUAUCACUUUAAUUGGAAAAACUCCCUUAUAUUCCCUCCCACCGGGUGGUAAAAAGGAGGUGUGACAAGCCUCACUUUCAGUUGUUGCUCGGCUGCAUUUCGUGCCUAAGAAACUUGGAAUGUUGCCGUCUUUUUUGUGUUUUUCUCUAGGUCCUCUUUAUUUUAGGAGUUAGGUAUUAUUUUAUAGGGAUUAGAAAUUAGGUUAGGUCAAAUGAGGAAUGGAUAUGAGCUUGGAUUUUGGAAAUUGGGUUGGACCAUGUCUUAUUGGGUUUUAACUUUGGGGUAAGAACGACUAAAUAAUGCAAUUUAUCUAUAAAGUAUAAAAAUCACUCUUAAUAAAAAUAAACUAAUAUAAAUCUAAAUACUAAAAGUGAAACUAAUUUUUUUUUGUAUUUUCAAAUUGUAUAAUACUAUAAAUAUAAAUAUACUAAUUGACUUUAGCCUAAAGAUGAAUUUUUUUUUUAAUUUUUUUUUGUUAAAAAAAAUAAUGUAAAAGAGUUAAAACUAUUUAAAAUAGUAAUAUUAGACCUAAACUAAAUAUUUAAUGCUAAAAUAUGUAAAUCUUGGGGAGGGUAAAAAAUUACAUGUCUACACCAUCUCGCUAGUCGAUCACUAAGAACAACUUUUCACAUCACGAACUUGAUGGGAUUUGCUUUAGAAACAAGACGGACAACAUGAGCUUGAAAGUAGUGCUUCAACUUUUGAAUUGAGAAGACUAGCGCCAAACACAACUUUUCAAUUGGCGAAUAAUUCAGGUCGUUUGGUGUCAUCAUCUUGCUCAAGUAGUAAAGGGAAUUUUCUUUCCCUUCACUAUUUUCUUGGUCCAACAACGCUCCAACAGACCUUUCUUGGGCUGAAAUGUAUAGUAUCAGCGACUUUCCAAGUAUAGGGGAUGCCAAAACUGGAGGCUUCAUCAAGUAGGAUUUAAUGCUCUCAAAGGCGUUGCUAUACGCUUGGUCCCAUUUGAAAGGGACACCUUUCUUCAUAAGGCAACUGAAUGGUUGGAACCUCCCAGCUAGGUUUGAGAUGAAUCUCCUAAGGUACGCUAACUUUCCUUGCAGACUUUUCAAUUCGUAAAUAUCCCGAGGCUCAGGCAUUUUCAAGAUCACAUCUACUUUGGCUUGAUUAAUUUCAAUCCCUCGAUGUCAAACAAUGAAACCAAGGAACUUUAUGGAAGUAACUCCAAAGGCGCAUUUCAAUGGAUUCAUCCUAAGUUGGUACCUCCGGAGCAACUCAAACACUAUUCUCAAGUCUUUCAAGUGGUCGCCCUUCUCUCUUGAUUUUACCACCAAGUUGUCAACAUAGUAUUCGACAUUCUUGUGGAGAAGAUUGUCAAAAAUAUUCUGCAUAGCCCUUUGGUAAGUAGAACAAGCGUUCUUCAAGCCAAAAGGCAUUACCUUGUAACAACAAAUACCCUUCGGAGUGCAAAAUGCAGUAAGUUCUUCAUCUUUUUGUGCCAUGCAAAUUUGGUUAUAGCCCAACGAACUGUCCAUGAAAGACAUUGCCUAGUAACCAGUAGUAGUAUUGACCAUCAGCUCUGGAAUAGGGAGCGAGAAUUCAUCUUUGGGACACACAUUGUUGAGAUCCCUGAAGUCAAUGCAUACUCGAAUUUGGCCAUUCUUCUUCCUUCAGGGACAAUACUUGAAACCCGUGUUGGGUAUUUAACUUCCCGAAUAAAUCCAACUUCAAUGAGUUUGUUAACUUCGGUUUCGAUCAGGGGAACCAAGUUCGGCCUAAAGCGCCUUUGAGCUUGCUUAACAGGACGAGCGUCAUUCUUGACUGCAAGGUGAUGGACUGCUACUUUAGGGUCCAAGCCAGGCAUUUCUUUGUAACUCCAAGCAAAGACAUCUCAAAACUCUUUGAGUAACUCAAUAUAAGUGCUUUCUUCAUCAACUUCUAGUAAAACACUUAGGUAGGUGGGUCUUGGUUCUUCAUCAGUGCCAAGGUUAACUUCUUUUAAGGCAUCAAUCAUUGCCUUCACCCCUUAUUCAAGUUCUAGCGGAGUAGAUUUUUCAUCUACAUCUUCUUGGGUCCCCAUCGUUAAAGGAUAUGUGAUAACAUGGUGAAAUAUUGUCCAAUUUUUCAUCAUCCUCUAUUAGAGAUAAAACACCAUGCUCGCCUUGUGCAGUAACAUGAUACGAAGAACCCAUACUUUCUUCAUCUUUAUCACAUUCUUUAGUGUAGAUGAUAAUGUAUGGCUUCACCUUCAGUACCUCAUCACACGAGACCAUGACUUUUGUUUGUCGCUUCAUUCUAGAAGGGACCUAACUUUGGAAAUCCUUAGAGAUCUUCUGAAUUUUUGGCGAAGAGGGUGUUCUUGUAUUUCGAUAAUUUCUCUAGAACUUAUUACCCUUCUUUAAUGGACCCAAUCUCUCAAAUAUGGAAGUUCUCACAGUUGAUUUUCCGAGUCGAUCAAAGACAAAAGACUUGUUAGAAGCGGCCGAUUCAUCUUCUACAAUGAUAUAAUUGUUGCUCGCCCUUCUUAUGGAGAUGUGCACUGGUGAUGGUUGCUUGUAUCUCAAACCUUCACAUGGUUGUCUCGUCACAGCUUCUGAUGGUAGCUUCCCUAACUUUGAUGGCUCAUUAGGAUUGUAUCCAGAUUUUGCAAAUAGCAUGUAAGCGUUAGGAUCAAAACCUUCAUUUGUUCGCUUUGUAGGGAGUUUCACAUUCUGUAAACAAUUUUGGGCCACAAACCCUGCAAGCAGCAUUGAGGAUGACUUUACAGCCUUAAUUCGGUUGACCGGAAGAGUUAAACUCCUUUAACAUGUUAGUUUGGAGAUUAGAUAAUUCACCUUCAUCUUUCUUCCUUUUAUGGGCAUAUUGGAGCAUAAGAUUUACUUUCUUGCCAUAAGACGCAAUAUUCCCUCUAUAAGAUUUAUUCGUGUUAGGUUGUACCUCCUCAGUAACAGCUUGGGCUUCACCAGUAGUCACCUCUUCUAUUUUUAUUAUGGGCUCGUUGUUCUUGCUUUUUAUGCCAUCAUCGGCUUUUAGCUCCUUCACAAUGCAGUUCUUCAAGUAAAACUUUGCAUCGGCGAACUGUGACUCAGCCUCGGUGAAUGGCUCAUCAUCAGAAACUAUCUUCUUCUCGAUUUCACCCUCGUAGUAUUUUAAAUAUUGAUGGUAGGUAGAUGGAACUACUUUAUUCUCAUGUAUCCAAGGCAUUCCAAGCAAAACGUUGUAUGAAGUCUUUGCAUCGAUCACAUGUAGCCAUGCACUUGAUUGCAUAUCUUUAAUGGUGAUUUCCAGCCUGAUCGCACCUAUGUCUCUUUGCCCCCCUUGGUUGAAUCCUUGGAUCAUCACACAACUUUCUGAGAGUUCGUUCAUGGAAAUACCAAGUUCUUUCAUAGUGCGAAUUGGCAAAAUAUUCACUGAGGAUCCUCCAUUAACCAAAAUUCGAUUUACCCUAUCAUCACGCAUAUAGCCAUCCAGGUAUAAUGGGCGGUUAUGAAGAGUAUCACCUAGCAGAAGAUCAUCAUUUGUGAACAUGACUUUGUCCUCACAAGCGUUAACUUCUUAAGGAGUGAACUCAAUGAGCUUUUCUGAAAACGGUGUCAACGGUAGGUCAUCACUCUUUUCUUCCCCUUUGUUAGCAUGGCAACAAGAGGCAUCGAUACCUUCAUGGGAAAUCUUCGUGCGGAACCAACUUGGUAAAAACUCCUCCAAGGUCACUGGAUUUUGUGGCUUUUGAGAGUGGUGUACCUCCACUUUUGCUCUCUUUAAGUGCUUAACUGGAUUCCAUCUCCUUGGUCUUUUUACCAUUAUUUUCCUUGUUGGUUGUUCUAUUGAUUCUUUUUCUAGGCUCCUUCUGUGGUGAUUACGAUGAGUCACCAACGUCCAACCUUCAUCAUCACCAGGUUGAUUGACUUAAGCUUUGUCGUUCUCCAGUAAUUCUUCAUCUUUACUUUCUUUAAAACCACAUAAUUCAUUCGGACUGAAUGAGCCAAAGGUGAUAGUGACUUAGUUUGUGCUUGCUUUCUUAUCUUCAAGCAUGAUCUCAUUUUCGCGAUCCAAGUCCAUAACUUUGUCUUUGAAGACAAAGCACUUCUCCAGAGGGUGGCUCACAAGUCGAUGAUAUUUGCAGUAAUUUGGGUCAUUUGUUUUCCCAGCUUCAUUUGGUCGCUUCAUCUCCGGAAGCUCAAUGAUAUUUAACUCGAUGAGUUCUUCAAAAAUAGCUGGCACAUCAAAAUCAAGAAAUGGGUACUCCUUCUCUUGCAUUUCUUUUAGAGUUAACUUUCCACUUGGCUUAUCAUGAAAAGAAGUGGAUUUCAUACUCUGCUUCUUGCUCACCUUCGUUGUGAACUUCACAGGUGAUGUGUUGACAUUCAUAUCUUGUUUGUUUUCAGAUUUAGGUACGAACUUAUCCUAUUUCCUGACUUCUUUCUUGUCGUUCCCUUUGCGAGGCUCAUAGAUAGGAAACCUUUCAUUUCCAGCGGAGGCCAUGCUCAACUCAAUGUCAUGGGCACGAGUCGCAAGUUCUUCAAAUGUGC